GUAGGUGGCAAGCGUUGUCCGGGAAUUAUUGGGGCGUAAAGCGCGCGCAGGCGGUCCUUUAAGUCUGAUGUGAAAGCCCACGGGCUCAACCGUGGAGGGUCAUUGGAAACUGGGGGACUUGAGUACAGAAGAGAAGAGUGGAAUUCCACGUGUAGCGGUGAAAUGCGUAGAGAUGUGGAGGAACACCAGUGGCGAAGGCGACUCUUUGGUCUGUAACUGACGCUGAGGCGCGAAAGCGUGGGGAGCAAACAGGAUUAGAUACCCUGGUAGUCCACGCUGUAAACGAUGAGUGCUAAGUGUUAGAGGGUUUCCGCCCUUUAGUGCUGCAGCUAACGCAUUAAGCACUCCGCCUGGGGAGUACGGCCGCAAAGGCUG
rnacentral:rRNA from 1 species